rnacentral:rRNA from 1 species
UGGGGAAUAUUGCACAAUGGGCGCAAGCCUGAUGCAGCCAUGCCGCGUGUGUGAAGAAGGCCUUCGGGUUGUAAAGCACUUUCAGCGAGGAGGAAGGUGGUGAGCUUAAUACGCUCAUCAAUUGACGUUACUCGCAGAAGAAGCACCGGCUAACUCCGUGCCAGCAGCCGCGGUAAUACGGAGGGUGCAAGCGUUAAUCGGAAUUACUGGGCGUAAAGCGCACGCAGGCGGUUUGUUAAGUCAGAUGUGAAAUCCCCGGGCUCAACCUGGGAACUGCAUUUGAAACUGGCAAGCUAGAGUCUCGUAGAGGGGGGUAGAAUUCCAGGUGUAGCGGUGAAAUGCGUAGAGAUCUGGAGGAAUACCGGUGGCGAAGGCGGCCCCCCUGGACGAAGACUGACGCUCAGGUGCGAAAGCGUGGGGCAGCAAACAGGAUUAGAUACCCUGGUAGUCCACGCUGUAAAACGAUGUCGAUUUGGAGGUUGUGCCCUUGAGGCGUGGCUUCCGGAGCUAACGCGUUAAAUCGACCGCCUGGGGAGUACGGCC